rnacentral:rRNA from 1 species
GACGAACGCUGGCGGCGUGCUUAACACAUGCAAGUCGAACGGAAAGGCCCUGCUUUUGUGGGGUGCUCGAGUGGCGAACGGGUGAGUAACACGUGAGUAACCUGCCCUUGACUUUGGGAUAACUUCAGGAAACUGGGGCUAAUACCGGAUAGGAGCUCCUGCUGCAUGGUGGGGGUUGGAAAGUUUCGGCGGUUGGGGAUGGACUCGCGGCUUAUCAGCUUGUUGGUGGGGUAGUGGCUUACCAAGGCUUUGACGGGUAGCCGGCCUGAGAGGGUGACCGGCCACAUUGGGACUGAGGUACGGCCCAGACUCCUACGGGGGGCAGCAGUGGGGAAUAUUGCACAAUGGGCGGAAGCCUGAUGCAGCGACGCCGCGUGCGGGAUGACGGCCUUCGGGUUGUAAACCGCUUUCGCCUGUGACGAAGCGUGAGUGACGGUACUGGGUAAAGAAGCACCGGCUAACUACGUG